CUUGAAAAUCUCAUUUACUUGAAC
rnacentral:snRNA from 1 species